rnacentral:RNase_P_RNA from 2 species
CAAGUAAGACAGGUAAUCGCGGCUGUCAGGACCGAAAGGGGACAGGCGAGGAAAGUCCGGGCUUCACAGGGCAGGAUGCCGGAUAACGUCCGGUGGAGGUGACUCCAAGGCAAGUGCAACAGAAAUAUACCGCCUGUGCAUGCAGGUAAGGGUGGAAUGGCAGUUUAAGAGACUACCGCUUCUCUGGUAACAGCGAAGGCAGAUGUAAACCCCAUCCGAAGCAAGACCGGAUAAAGACGAUGUGGCGGCCCGUCACGUCUUAGGUAGGUCGCUUGAACCUGCCGGUAACGGCAGGUCUAGAAAGAUGAUUACCCAACGACAUAACCCGGCUUAUCGUUUUGCUUGCAUA